rfam:Lepisosteus oculatus linkage group LG14, whole genome shotgun sequence.
GCCGGCAGCCAUAUCACCCUGCAGCUCUCAACUGGCUGCCGACUGAAGCUAAGCAGGGUUGAGCCUGGUCAGUACCUGGAUGGGAUAGACCUCCUGGGAAGCUAUGGUUGCUGCUGGAA